AGGACGAACGCUGGCGGCGUGCUUAACACAUGCAAGUCGAACGGAAAGGCCCGCUUGCGGGUACUCGAGUGGCGAACGGGUGAGUAACACGUGGGCAACCUGCCCUCAGCUUCGGGAUAACACUUGGAAACAGGUGCUAAUACCGGAUAAUAACCUUUCAUCGCAUGGUGUGGGGUUCAAAGAUUUUCGGCUGGGGAUGGGCCCGCGGCCUAUCAGCUUGUUGGUGGGUAAUGGCCUACCAAGGCGACGACGGGUA
rnacentral:rRNA from 1 species